UUGUAUCUGGAUGCUCCUUUUUACGGAUUUGGAUUUGAGUUAAUAAUCGAGGAGUUAUAUGCAGUUUCGUGAGGUGAUUUGUCUCAAACGCGAACUGAGACCAGCGGGGAUUGUAAGUGCGAUCGCGGACUUGUCUGUUAUCCGAUCAACACGAGAUUUGUGGAAAGCUUCGUAACGUCUAGGGAUAAGUUUCAGCCAGAGGGAUUUGGAAGUUAAUGGGUGUUGCUGGGAUGUUACAGACACGAAAAAAGUCUCUCCUGGUUGUGUUUUGUUGUUCGAAUCAUCUUGUUAAGGUAAUUUGUAGCGUGGAAUCAUGGCGACGAGGAGAAGGAUGACAUAGGGUCUCGUUUUUGUGUUGUGGUUAUGUUACUCUUGUUGGAACUUGGUUAUAAGCUUACUAGGUUUCUGGUUAUAUUAGUUUGGUUUUGUUUGUCUUCCUCUGUGCAUGUUGAUUUCUUGUUGGUUUAUUGUUUAGAUUAUAAUUAAAUAUUCCGGGGUAUUAAUUAUAUUAUUAUAUUUUAAA